GGUACUGGGGGCUGAGACUCUCCUAUGUGGGGGUGGAGGGCAGUAUCUUGACUGAUCCUGAGAUGGGGUCUAGAGCACUGGGAGCUGGGCUUCUCUUAUGCAGGAGUGGAGUAUGGGGUGGUCGACUCCUGUGUACACAGCAUCUGCCAGUAAGAGGGAUGUCAACUCUCUUCUAACCAACCACCAGCUUCUAUACUCGCCUCUUCCACGUCCCAUCACUGACUACAUAGCUUAAUAGCCAAGUAUCUCCUAAGCUGAAAUAAGCCAUUAUUGCUUUCAUCUACUACCAUGACCUCUCAGAAGUCUUCCCCAGCAUCUUAGGCAUCCAGCUCCUUGCUCAAGACUCCAGAAAGACUCUGAAAACAGGUGCCAACGUGCCUUACUCUUCAGCAAUGCAGGUACUCCUCAAAUUC
rnacentral:lncRNA from 1 species